GACGAACGCUGGCGGCGUGCUUAACACAUGCAAGUCGAACGAAGAGCGACGGAAGCUUGCUUCUAUCACUCUUAGUGGCGAACGGGUGAGUAACGCGUAAUCAACCUGCCCUUCAGAGGGGGACAACAGUUGGAAACGACUGCUAAUACCGCAUACGAUCUAACCUCGGCAUCGAGGAUAGAUUAAAGGUGGCCUCUACAUGUAAGCUAUCACUGAAGGAGGGGAUUGCGUCUGAUUAGCUAGUUGGAGGGGUAACGGCCCACCAAGGCGAUGAUCAGUAGCCGGUCUGAGAGGAUGAACGGCCACAUUGGGACUGAGACACGGCCCAGACUCCUACGGGAGGCAGCAGUGGGGAAUCUUCCGCAAUGGACGAAAGUCUGACGGAGCAACGCCGCGUGAGUGAUGACGGCCUUCGGGUUGUAAAGCUCUGUUAAUCGGGACGAAAGGCCUUCUUGCGAAUAGUGAGAAGGAUUGACGGUACCGGAAUAGAAAGCCACGGCUAACUACGUG
rnacentral:rRNA from 1 species